rfam:Camelus ferus isolate Naran unplaced genomic scaffold scaffold14486, whole genome shotgun sequence.
GAGGGUAUAGCUCAGUGUUAGAGCACAUGCCUAGCAUGCACAAGGUCCUGGGUUCAAUCCCCAGUACCUCCA